rnacentral:rRNA from 1 species
AGUGAACGCUGGCGGUAGGCCUAACACAUGCAAGUCGAACGGCAGCACAGUAAGAGCUUGCUCUUACGGGUGGCGAGUGGCGGACGGGUGAGGAAUACAUCGGAAUCUACUUUUUCGUGGGGGAUAACGGAGGGAAACUUACGCUAAUACCGCAUACGACCUACGGGUGAAAGCAGGGGAUCUUCGGACCUUGCGCGAUUGAAUGAGCCGAUGUCGGAUUAGCUAGUUGGCGGGGUAAAGGCCCACCAAGGCAACGAUCCGUAGCUGAUCUGAGAGGAUGAUCGGCCACACUGGAACUGAGACACGGUCCAGACUCCUACGGGAGGCAGCAGUGGGGAAUAUUGGACAAUGGGCGCAAGCCUGAUCCAGCCAUACCGCGUGGGUGAAGAAGGCCUUCGGGUUGUAAAGCCCUUUUGUUGGGAAAGAAAAGCAGCAGGUUAAUACCCCGCUGUUCUGACGGUACCCAAAGAAUAAGCACCGGCUAACUUCGUG